rnacentral:rRNA from 2 species
UCGGGUUACCGAAUUCAGACAAACUCCGAAUGCCAAUUAAUUUAACUUGGGAGUCAGAACAUGGGUGAUAAGGUCCGUGUUCGAAAGGGAAACAGCCCAGACCACCAGCUAAGGUCCCAAAAUAUAUGUUAAGUGGAAAAGGAUGUGGCGUUGCCCAGACAACUAGGAUGUUGGCUUAGAAGCAGCCAUCAUUUAAAGAGUGCGUAAUAGCUCACUAGUCGAGUGACACUGCGCCGAAAAUGUACCGGGGCUAAACAUAUUACCGAAGCUGUGGAUUGUCCUUUGGACAAUGGUAGGAGAGCGUUCUAAGGGCGUUGAAGCAUGAUCGUAAGGACAUGUGGAGCGCUUAGAAGUGAGAAUGCCGGUGUGAGUAGCGAAAGACGGGUGAGAAUCCCGUCCACCGAUUGACUAAGGUUUCCAGAGGAAGGCUCGUCCGCUCUGGGUUAGUCGGGUCCUAAGCUGAGGCCGACAGGCGUAGGCGAUGGAUAACAGGUUGAUAUUCCUGUACCACCUAUAAUCGUUUUAAUCGAUGGGGGGACGCAGUAGGAUAGGCGAAGCGUGCGAUUGGAUUGCACGUCUAAGCAGUAAGGCUGAGUAUUAGGCAAAUCCGGUACUCGUUAAGGCUGAGCUGUGAUGGGGAGAAGACAUUGUGUCUUCGAGUCGUUGAUUUCACACUGCCGAGAAAAGCCUCUAGAUAGAAAAUAGGUGCCCGUACCGCAAACCGACACAGGUAGUCAAGAUGAGAAUUCUAAGGUGAGCGAGCGAACUCUCGUUAAGGAACUCGGCAAAAUGACCCCGUAACUUCGGGAGAAGGGGUGCUCUUUAGGGUUAACGCCCAGAAGAGCCGCAGUGAAUAGGCCCAAGCGACUGUUUAUCAAAAACACAGGUCUCUGCUAAACCGUAAGGUGAUGUAUAGGGGCUGACGCCUGCCCGGUGCUGGAAGGUUAAGAGGAGUGGUUAGCUUCUGCGAAGCUACGAAUCGAAGCCCCAGUAAACGGCGGCCGUAACUAUAACGGUCCUAAGGUAGCGAAAUUCCUUGUCGGGUAAGUUCCGACCCGCACGAAAGGCGUAACGAUUUGGGCACUGUCUCAACGAGAGACUCGGUGAAAUCAUAGUACCUGUGAAGAUGCAGGUUACCCGCGACAGGACGGAAAGACCCCGUGGAGCUUUACUGUAGCCUGAUAUUGAAAUUCGGCACAGCUUGUACAGGAUAGGUAGGAGCCUUUGAAACGUGAGCGCUAGCUUACGUGGAGGCGCUGGUGGGAUACUACCCUAGCUGUGUUGGCUUUCUAACCCGCACCACUUAUCGUGGUGGGAGACAGUGUCAGGCGGGCAGUUUGACUGGGGCGGUCGCCUCCUAAAAGGUAACGGAGGCGCUCAAAGGUUCCCUCAGAAUGGUUGGAAAUCAUUCAUAGAGUGUAAAGGCAUAAGGGAGCUUGACUGCGAGACCUACAAGUCGAGCAGGGUCGAAAGACGGACUUAGUGAUCCGGUGGUUCCGCAUGGAAGGGCCAUCGCUCAACGGAUAAAAGCUACCCCGGGGAUAACAGGCUUAUCUCCCCCAAGAGUUCACAUCGACGGGGAGGUUUGGCACCUCGAUGUCGGCUCAUCGCAUCCUGGGGCUGUAGUCGGUCCCAAGGGUUGGGCUGUUCGCCCAUUAAAGCGGUACGCGAGCUGGGUUCAGAACGUCGUGAGACAGUUCGGUCCCUAUCCGUCGUGGGCGUAGGAAAUUUGAGAGGAGCUGUCCUUAGUACGAGAGGACCGGGAUGGACAUACCUCUGGUGUACCAGUUGUCGUGCCAACGGCAUAGCUGGGUAGCUAUGUGUGGACGGGAUAAGUGCUGAAAGCAUCUAAGCAUGAAGCCCCCCUCAAGAUGAGAUUUCCCAACUUCGGUUAUAAGAUCCCUCAAAGAUGAUGAGGUUAAUAGGUUCGAGGUGGAAGCAUGGUGACAUGUGGAGCUGACGAAUACUAAUCGAUCGAAGACUUAAUCAA